AGCCGUGACAGCCGCGGGAAGACAUGAGAGGCUGCUAGAAGGACUUCCCGCGGCCAGCGCCAUCACCUGCCCACGCCGCAGGGAGCCCUGACCAGAGCUCCAGACCUCUGGGUCCAACUGCCUUAUGGAUCCCUCUCCCUGAAUGUCACAUAGGAGAGGGGACAGGGGUUGGCCACACACCUGGAAAUGGAGUUCUCUGAUGCAAUGUCCUUUGGGGUCCGGACUGUGGUGAAGGUUCGUCCAGCUCCACGCCCACCCACUGGCCGCUGGCAAACUCCGUGGUCCCACAGAACCGCAGUGUGCCCGUCUGGGGAGAGAAGGGAGGCGAUGGCUAAGGAAGGAAUGCUGGGAGGCCAACGUGGAGUGCCCACACACGGGCAGCAAGAAAAGAAGAGAGGGCAAUGCAACCAUGGAGGCAGAGACUGGAGAGAUGUGGCCACAAGCCAAGCACUGCCUGCAGCCACCAGGAACCGGAACAGGCAAAGAAGAGAUUCUCCCCCAGAACCUCCAGAGGAGUACAGCCCUGCCGACACCUUGGUUUUGGCCCAGGAAAGCCGAUUUGGACUCCUGGCCUCUAGAACUGUUAGAAAAUAAUUUGUCUUGUUUUAAGCCACCAAGUUUGUUAGAGCAGCAUGGGAAACUAAUAGUGUAAUAAAGGGAGAAAUAAGAAUGUCUUUCACAUUUGCUGGUAUUUAUAUAAAGAAACUAUGGUAAUGUGGUUUGGCUCUGUGUCCCCACCCAAAUCUCAUCUUGAACUGUAAUCCCCAUGUGUCAAGGGAGGGACAUGAUGGGAGGUGACUGGAUCAUGGGGGAUGUUUCCCCCAUGCUGUUCCCAUGAUAGUGAGUGAGUUCUCAUGAGAUCUGAUGGUUUAAAAGUGGCAGUUCCCCUCUUGCUCUCUCUCUCUCCUGCCCCCAUGUAAGAUGUUUGCUUUCCCUUCGCCUUGCACCAUGAUUGUAAGUUUCCUGAGGCCUCCCCAGCCAUUCAGAAUUGUAAGUCCAUUAAACCUCUUUCCUUUAUGAAUUA